rnacentral:rRNA from 1 species
GAAGCCACGGCUAACUACGUGCCAGCAGCCGCGGUAAUACGUAGGUGGCAAGCGUUGUCCGGAUUUACUGGGCGUAAAGGGAGCGUAGGUGGAUAUUUAAGUGGGAUGUGAAAUACUCGGGCUUAACCUGGGUGCUGCAUUCCAAACUGGAUAUCUAGAGUGCAGGAGAGGAAAGGAGAAUUCCUAGUGUAGCGGUGAAAUGCGUAGAGAUUAGGAAGAAUACCAGUGGCGAAGGCGCCUUUCUGGACUGUAACUGACACUGAGGCUCGAAAGCGUGGGGAGCAAACAGGAUUAAAUACCCUGGUAGUCCACGCCGUAAACGAUGAAUACUAGGUGUAGGGGUUGUCAUGACCUCUGUGCCGCCGCUAACGCAUUAAGUAUUCCGCCUGGGGAGUACGGUCGCAAGAUUAAAACUCAAAGGAAUUGGCGGGGGCCCGCACAAGCAGCGGAGCAUGUGGUUUAAUUCGAAGCAACGCGAAGAACCUUACCUAGACUUGACAUCUCCUGAAUUACUCUGUAAUGGAGGAAGCCACUUCGGUGGCAGGAAGACAGGUGGUGCAUGGUUGUCGUCAGCUCGUGUCGUGAGAUGUUGGGUUAAGUCCCGCAACGAGCGCAACCCUUAUUGUUAGUUGCUACCAUUUAGUUGAGCACUCUAGCGAGACUGCCCGGGUUAACCGGGAGGAAGGUGGGGAUGACGUCAAAUCAUCAUGCCCCUUAUGUCUAGGGCUACACACGUGCUACAAUGGUCGGUACAAUGAGAUGCAACCUCGCGAGAGUGAGCAAAACUAUAAAACCGAUCUCAGUUCGGAUUGUAGGCUGAAACUCGCCUACAUGAAGCUGGAGUUGCUAGUAAUCGCGAAUCAGAAUGUCGCGGUGAAUACGUUCCCGGGCCUUGUACACACCGCCCGUCACACCAUGAGAGUUGGCAAUACCCAAAGUUCGUGAGCUAACGCGUAAGCGAGGCAGCGACCUAAG